rnacentral:rRNA from 1 species
UACGAAGGGGGCUAGCGUUGCUCGGAAUCACUGGGCGUAAAGGGUGCGUAGGCGGGUCUUUAAGUCAGGGGUGAAAGCCUGGGGCUCAACCCCAGGUCUGCCGUGCGAACUGGCGAGCUUGAGCAGAGUAGAGGCGGGUGGAAUUUCGGGUGUAGCGGUGGAAUGCGUAGAUAUCCGGAAGAACACCGGUGGCGAAGGCGGCCCGCUGGGCUCUUGCUGACACUGAUGCGCGACAGCGUGGGGAGCAAACAGG